rnacentral:rRNA from 1 species
CAGCCGCCGCGGGAAUACCGAGGGUGCGAGCGUUAAUCGGAAUUACUGGGCGUAAAGCGCGCGUAGACGGUUUGGUAAGUCAGAUGUGAAAUCCCUGGGCUCAACCUGGGAACUGCAUUUGAUACUGCCUGGCUAGAGUAUCGAAGAGGGAAGUGGAAUUUCCGGUGUAGCGGUGAAAUGCGUAGAUAUCGGAAGGAGCACCAGUGGCGAAAGCGACUUCCUGGUCGAAUACUGACGUUCAUGUGCGAAAGCGUGGGGAGCAAACAGGAUUAGAUACCCCGGUAGUCCCUGUCUCUUAUAA